GCGUUGUCCGGAUUUACUGGGUUUAAAGGGUGCGUAGGCGGACUUUUAAGUCAGUGGUGAAAGCCUGUAGCUUAACUAUAGAAUUGCCAUUGAAACUGAAAGUCUCGAGUGUGGUUGAGGUAACUGGAAUAUAUCAUGUAGCGGUGAAAUGCUUAGAUAUGAUAUAGAACACCAAUUGCGAAGGCAGGUUACUGAGCCAUUACUGACGCUGAGGCACGAAAGCGUGGGGAUCAAACAGGAUUAGAUACCCUGGUAGUCCACGCCGUAAACGUUGCAUACUCGAUCUUAGCGAUACACAGUUAGGAUCCAAGCGAAAGCGUUAAGUAUGCCACCUGGGAAGUACGUUCGCAAGAAUGAAACUCAAAGGAAUUGACG
rnacentral:rRNA from 1 species